GGUACAUCCGUAAUCUUGUAGCAAGAUGAUGGCAAUUGGAAUGGCUGACGGAAAAACGUGCCGUCCUUUGUAACUUAUUCAUCUGUAUCAUUGUGUCACUGAUGGCUUCGAAUUUUGGUGCUAGCGCUCCCCUUGAACCUAAACAAAAACAUGUUGGAGUUCGACAGACAGCCGAGACAAAUGACUCUAGCUCUUUCCUUACACAGGUGUCAAAAAUGAAUGAACUCAGCCUUGCUCUCUCUGGUAAAUUGCCAGAAUCUGGC
rnacentral:misc_RNA from 1 species